AGGAUUUGUAUAGGAUUUAAUCUAAGAUUUAGAAUUUGUCUAAGAUUUGAUUUAGGAUUUAGGGUUUAUUUAAGAUUUGGUCUAAGAUUUAGAGUUUAUCUAAGAUUUAAUUUAAGAUUUAGGAUUUAUUUAGAGUUUGAUUGAAGUCUAUUAAGAUUUCAACAAGAAUUAAAUUAAAACUUAGUUGAGAUUUAUUUAAGAUAUAUUUGUAAAUAUUCUAAUU
rnacentral:lncRNA from 1 species